CCUACGGGAGGCAGCAGUAGGGAAUCUUCCACAAUGGACGAAAGUCUGAUGGAGCAACGCCGCGUGUGUGAUGAAGGGUUUCGGCUCGUAAAACACUGUUGUAAGAGAAGAAUGACAUUGAGAGUAAAUGUGCAGUGUGUGACGGUAUCUUACCAGAAAGGAACGGUUAAAUCCGUGACCGCCGCCGCGGCAAUACGUAUGUUCCACGCGUUAUCCGGAUUUAUUGGGCGUAAAGCGAGCGUAGGCGGUAGUAUAAGUCCGAAGUGAAAGCCCACAGCUUAACUGUGGAAGUGCUGUUGAAACUGGAUAACUUGAGUGCAGUAGAGGAGAGUGGAACUCCAUGUGUAGCGGUGAAAUGCGUAGAUAUAUGUAAGAACGCCAGUGGCGAAGGCGGCUCUCUGGACUGUAACUGACGUUGAGGCUCGAAAGUGUGGGUAGCAAACAGGAUUAGAUACCCGUGUAGUC
rnacentral:rRNA from 1 species